AGUGAACGCUGGCGGUAGGCCUAACACAUGCAAGUCGAACGGCAGCACAGUAAGAGCUUGCUCUUACGGGUGGCGAGUGGCGGACGGGUGAGGAAUACAUCGGAAUCUACUUUUUCGUGGGGGAUAACGUAGGGAAACUUACGCUAAUACCGCAUACGACCUACGGGUGAAAGCAGGGGAUCUUCGGACCUUGCGCGAUUGAAUGAGCCGAUGUCGGAUUAGCGAGUUGGCGGGGUAAAGGCCCACCAAGGCGGCGAUCCGUAGCUGGUCUGAGAGGAGGGUCAGCCGCACUAGAACUGAGACACGGUCCCGACUCCUACGGGAGGCAGCAGUGGGGAAUAUUGGACAAUGGGCGCAAGCCUGAUCCAGCCAUACCGCGUGGGUGAAGAAGGCCUUCGGGUUGUAAAGCCCUUUUGUUGGGAAAGAAAAGCAGCAGGUUAAUACCCCGCUGUUCUGACGGUACCCAAAGAAUAAGCACCGGCUAACUUCGUG
rnacentral:rRNA from 1 species